UCUGUUUGCCCAGCUCUCUGGCUGUGGUUUCCAGUGAGAUGUGUGCACCAGAGCCAGGAUGGACAUGCUCAUGAACCUCAGCACCCUGCCAAGACCAGGAACCUUCCUCAAUCAGGUCCUCCAAGCAGAAGACCUCAUCAGUCAGCACAAUGCACAGCAGAGGCAGGGAACCAUCACCUGAGGUGCAGAGACACUCAACUUGGGAUCCAGAGAACUUGCUAUUGACCCCUUAUUGGCCAAAACUAGAUCUGAGCAUUCAACACCCUGAAGGUGUCACAUUCCACACCAGGAGUUGUCUUGGUACAAUGAGAAGGUGUCUAUGUCCUACACAACUUGUCUAAUGGGGUCCAGCACCCCAAGGAAGGUGUCCAUGAAGAAGAAGAAGCAUGCAAGGAGAGAGGACAAUGAAGGCAUCAAGUACUAGUGAAAUCACAAGGUUUAAGUUCUGCUCAGCCU